GAUCCUGGCUCAGGAUGAACGCUAGCGACAGGCUUAACACAUGCAAGUCGAGGGGCAGCACAGGUAGCAAUACCGGGUGGCGACCGGCGCACGGGUGAGUAACGCGUAUGCAACUUGCCUAUCAGAGGGGGAUAACCCGGCGAAAGUCGGACUAAUACCGCAUGAAGCAGGGGCCCCGCAUGGGGAUAUUUGCUAAAGAUUCAUCGCUGAUAGAUAGGCAUGCGUUCCAUUAGGCAGUUGGCGGGGUAACGGCCCACCAAACCGACGAUGGAUAGGGGUUCUGAGAGGAAGGUCCCCCACAUUGGUACUGAGACACGGACCAAACUCCUACGGGAGGCAGCAGUGAGGAAUAUUGGUCAAUGGCCGAGAGGCUGAACCAGCCAAGUCGCGUGAAGGAAGAAGGAUCUAUGGUUUGUAAACUUCUUUUAUAGGGGAAUAAAGUGGAGGACGUGUCCUUUUUUGUAUGUACCCUAUGAAUAAGCAUCGGCUAACUCCGUGCCAGCAGCCGCGGUAAUACGGAGGAUGCGAGCGUUAUCCGGAUUUAUUGGGUUUAAAGGGUGCGUAGGUGGUGAUUUAAGUCAGCGGUGAAAGUUUGUGGCUCAACCAUAAAAUUGCCGUUGAAACUGGGUUACUUGAGUGUGUUUGAGGUAGGCGGAAUGCGUGGUGUAGCGGUGAAAUGCAUAGAUAUCACGCAGAACUCCGAUUGCGAAGGCAGCUUACUAAACCAUAACUGACACUGAAGCACGAAAGCGUGGGGAUCAAACAGGAUUAGAUACCCUGGUAGUCCACGCAGUAAACGAUGAUCACUAGCUGUUUGCGAUACACUGUAAGCGGCACAGCGAAAGCGUUAAGUGAUCCACCUGGGGAGUACGCCGGCAACGGUGAAACUCAAAGGAAUUGACGGGGGCCCGCACAAGCGGAGGAACAUGUGGUUUAA
rnacentral:rRNA from 1 species